AAAGAUUCGCAAUACCGCCAACGAUCUUAGGAUGAAAGCGGGGGAUUCGCAAACUCAUGCUCCUGGAGCCCCCGAUAUCUGAUUAGCUAGUUGGUGAGGGUAAACCCUACCAAGGCAUCGAUCAGUAGCUGGUCUGAGAGGACGACCACCACACUGGAACUGAGACACGGUCCAGACUCCUACGGGAGGCAGCAGUGGGGAAUUUUGGACAAUGGGCGCAAGCCUGAUCCAGCAAUGCCGCGUGAGUGAAGAAGGCCUUCGGGUUGUAAAGCUCUUUUGUCAGGGAAGAAACGGUGAAGGCUAAUAUCCUUUGCUAAUGACGGGUACCUGAAGAAUAAGCACCGGCUAACUACGUGCCAGCAGCCGCGGUAAUACGUAGGGUGCAAGCGUUAAUCGGGAUUACUGGGCGUAAAGCGUGCGCAGGCGGUUUUGUAAGUCUGUCGUGAAAUCCCCGGGCUCAACCUGGGAAUUGCGAUGGAGACUGCAAGGCUAGAAUCUGGCAGAGGGGGGUAGAAUUCCACGUGUAGCAGUGAAAUGCGUAGAGAUGUGGAGGAACACCGAUGGCGAAGGCAGCCCCCUGGGUCAAGAUUGACGCUCAUGCACGAAAGCGUGGGGAGCAAACAGGAUUAGAUACCCUGGUAGUCCACGCCCUAAACGAUGUCUACUAGUUGUCGGGUUUUAAUUAACUUGGUAACGCAGCUAACGCGUGAAGUAGACCGCCUGGGGAGUACGGUCGCAAGA
rnacentral:rRNA from 1 species